rnacentral:rRNA from 1 species
CCUACGGGUGGCUGCAGUGAGGAAUAUUGGUCAAUGGACGAGAGUCUGAACCAGCCAAGCAGCGUGAAGGAUGACUGUCCUAUGGGUUGUAAACUUCUUUUGUAUGGGAAUAAAACAGGGUAUGCAUACCCUCUUGUAUGUACCUUAUGAAUCAGGAUCGGCUAACUCCGUGCCAGCAGCCGCGGUACUACGGAGGAUCCGAGCGUUAUCCGGAUUUAUUGGGUUUAAAGGGAGCGUAGGUGGACUGUUAAGUCAGUUGUGAAAGUUAGCGGCUCAACCGUAAGAUUGCAGUUGAAACUGGCAGUCGUGAGUACAGUAGAGGUGGGCGGAAUUCGUGGUGUAGCGGUGAAAUGCUUAGAGAUCGCGAAGAACGCCGAUUGCGAAGGCAGCUCACUGGACUGCAACUGACGCUGAUGCACGAAAGUGUGGGUAUCAAACAGGAUUAGAUACCCGAGUAGUC